rnacentral:rRNA from 1 species
UGGGGAAUCUUGCACAAUGGGGGAAACCCUGAUGCAGCGACGCCGCGUGAGCGAUAAAGCCCUUCGGGGUGUAAAGCUCUUUCGGCAGGAACGAUAAUGACGGUACCUGCAGAAGAAGCUGCGGCUAACUACGUGCCAGCAGCCGCGGUAAUACGUAGGCAGCGAGCGUUGUUCGGAGUUACUGGGCGUAACGAGUGCGUAGGUGGUUCUCUAAGUUCGGUGUUAAAUCUCCCGGCUCAACUGGGAGGGUGCGCCGAAAACUGGAGGGCUGGAGUGCGGGAGAGGAGAGCGGAAUUCCUGGUGUAGCGGUGAAAUGCGUAGAUAUCAGGAGGAACACCUGUGGUGCAGACGGCUCUCUGGACCGCUACUGACACUGAGGCACGAAAGCGUGGGGAGCAAACAG